AACGAACGCUGGCGGCAGGCUUAACACAUGCAAGUCGAACGCCCCGCAAGGGGAGUGGUAGACGGGUGAGUAACGCGUGGGAAUCUACCCAUCUCUGCGGAAUAGCUCCGGGAAACUGGAAUUAAUACCGCAUACGCCCUACGGGGGAAAGAUUUAUCGGGGAUGGAUGAGCCCGCGGUGGAUUAGCUAGUUGGUGGGGUAAAGGCCUACCAAGGCGACGAGCCAUAGCUGGUCUGAGAGGAGGAUCAGCCACAUUGGGACUGAGACACGGCCCAAACUCCUACGGGAGGCAGCAGUGGGGAAUAUUGGACAAUGGGCGCAAGCCUGAUCCAGCCAUGCCGCGUGAGUGAUGAAGGCCUUAGGGUUGUAAAGCUCUUUCACCGGUGAAGAUAAUGACGGUAACCGGAGAAGAAGCCCCGGCUAACUUCGUGCCAGCCGCCGCAGUAA
rnacentral:rRNA from 1 species